AAGGGAACGAGGACUGUAGAAUCCCAACCAUUGUGUACCUACCACUGUUGCUUCGGCGGCCUCGCCCCGGGCGCGUUCGCGCGGCCCGGACCCAGGCGUCCGCCGGAGGCUCCAAACUCUUGUCUUUUAGUGUAUUUCUGAGUGGCAUAAGCAAAUAAAUCAAAACUUUCAGCAACGGAUCUCUUGGUUCUGGCAUCGAUGAAGAACGCAGCAAAAUGCGAUAAGUAAUGUGAAUUGCAGAAUUCAGUGAAUCAUCGAAUCUUUGAACGCACAUUGCGCCCGCCAGUAUUCUGGCGGGCAUGCCUGUCUGAGCGUCAUUUCAACCCUCAGGACCCGUUCGCGGGACCUGGCGUUGGGGAUCAGCCUGCCCCUGGCGGCGGCUGGCCCUGAAAUCCAGUGGCGGUUCCCUCGCGAACUCCUCCGUGCAGUAAUUAAACCUCUCGCGGCAGGAUAGCGGUUGAACCACGCCGUUAAACCCCCCACUUCUCAAGGUUGACCUCAGAUCAGGUAGGAAUACCCGCUGAACUUAAGCAUAUCAUAGCCGGGAAGGAAAAUCAAAAGU
rnacentral:sRNA from 1 species